rnacentral:ncRNA from 2 species
AGAAGGGGUGCGCCCUUGGGUGCCCAUGUCGGGCUUUCAAGAGGGAAGCCGGUGCGAUUCCGGCGCGGUCCCGCCACUGUGAAUGGGCAGCCCUGAGGUCAGGGCCGGGGACUUCGGUUGUCGCCACUCUGGCCACCGCUUCACGGCGCUCCAGGGGAAGGUGGGAGCCCCCUUCCAGCCAGACGCAACGUGCGCCUGGAGCCGGAGCUCAUCAGCCAGGAGACCUGCCCAGGGGUGCGGCCGUGU